rnacentral:rRNA from 1 species
GUGGGGAAUCUUAGACAAUGGGGGAAACCCUGAUCUAGCCAUGCCGCGUGAUCGAUGAAGGCCUUAGGGUUGUAAAGAUCUUUCAGGUGGGAAGAUAAUGACUGUACCACCAGAAGAAGCCCCGGCUAACUCCGUGCCAGCAGCCGCGGUAAUACGGAGGGGGCUAGCGUUGUUCGGAAUUACUGGGCGUAAAGCGCACGUAGGCGGAUUGGAAAGUUGGGGGUGAAAUCCCGGGGCUCAACCUUGGAACUGCCUUCAAAACUCCUGGUCUGGAGUUCGAGAGAGGUGAGUGGAAUUCCGAGUGUAGAGGUGAAAUUCGUAGAUAUUCGGAGGAACACCAGUGGCGAAGGCGGCUCACUGGCUCGAUACUGACGCUGAGGUGCGAAAGCGUGGGGAGCAAACAGGAUUAGAUACCCGGGUAGUCC